rnacentral:misc_RNA from 1 species
GAACGCACAUUGCGCCCUUUGGCAUUCCGAAGGGCAUGCCUGUUCGAGCGUCAUGAUCAAAUCUCAAGCCUUGCUUGGUAUUGGACGGCUUGGUGGAGACCCCCUUUGCGGGCUUCUACCCCUCCCAAAGACAAUGACGGCGGCCUCGUUGGACCCCCGGUACACUGAGUUCUUCACGGGACACGUAUCGGACACAUGGGUUCACGGGACACGGUCUGCCUCCCCUCAGGGAGAAUCUUUUUUUAUCAAGGUUGACCUCGGAUCAGGUAGGGAUACCCGCUGAACUUAAG